UACGUAGGAUGCAAGCGUUGUCCGGAAUUAUUGGGCGUAAAGAGCUCGUAGGCGGUUUGUUGCGUCGGCUGUGAAAUCCCGAGGCUCAACCUCGGGUCUGCAGUCGAUACGAGCAAACUAGAGUGUUGCAGGGGAGACUGGAAUUCCUGGUGUAGCGGUGAAAUGCGCAGAUAUCAGGAGGAACACCGGUGGCGAAGGCGGGUCUCUGGGCAACAACUGACGCUGAGGAGCGAAAGCGUGGGGAGCGAACAGG
rnacentral:rRNA from 1 species